rnacentral:tRNA from 1 species
UCUAAUGUGGCAGAAUAUGCUAUGAAUUUAAGAUUCCUACAUAAAUAUUAAUAUUUCUUUAGAA